rnacentral:rRNA from 1 species
CCUACGGGAGGCAGCAGUGGGGAAUAUUGGACAAUGGGCGCAAGCCUGAUCCAGCCAUGCCGCGUGGGUGAUGAAGGCCUUAGGGUUGUAAAGCCCUUUCGGCGGGGAAGCGGUACCCGCAGAAGAAGCCCCGGCUAACUUCGUGCCAGCAGCCGCGGUAAUACGAAGGGGGCUAGCGUUGCUCGGAAUCACUGGGCGUAAAGCGCACGUAGGCGGGUCGUUAAGUCAGGGGUGAAAUCCUGGAGCUCAACUCCAGAACUGCCUCUGAUACUGGCGAUCUCGAGUUCGGGAGAGGUGAGUGGAACUGCGAGUGUAGAGGUGAAAUUCGUAGAUAUUCGCAAGAACACCAGUGGCGAAGGCGGCUCACUGGCCCGUCUGACGCUGAGGUGCGAAAGCGUGGGGAGCAAACAGGAUUAGAUACCCUUGUAGUC